GGGGAAUAUUGCACAAUGGGCGCAAGCCUGAUGCAGCGACGCCGCGUGGGGGAUGAAGGCCUUCGGGUUGUAAACUCCUUUCGCUAGGGACGAAGCUUUUUGGUGACGGUACCUAGAUAAGAAGCACCGGCUAACUACGUGCCAGCAGCCGCGGUAAUACGUAGGGUGCGAGCGUUGUCCGGAAUUACUGGGCGUAAAGGGCUCGUAGGUGGUUUGUCGCGUCGUCUGUGAAAUUCUGGGGCUUAACUCCGGGCGUGCAGGCGAUACGGGCAUAACUUGAGUGCUGUGGGGGUAACUGGAAUUCCUGGUGUAGCGGUGAAAUGCGCAGAUAUCAGGAGGAACACCGAUGGCGAAGGCAGGUUACUGGGCAGUUACUGACGCUGAGGAGCGAAAGCAUGGGUAGCGAACAGGAUUAGAUACCCUGGUAGUCCAUGCCGUAAACGGUGGGCGCUAGGUGUGAGGGUCUUUCUACGACUUUCGUGCCGUAGCUAACGCAUUAAGCGCCCCGCCUGGGGAGUACGGCCGCAAGGCUA
rnacentral:rRNA from 1 species